ACACGACUACAUUAGAUACCCGUGUAGUCCUAGCCGUAAACGAUACUCGCUAGGUGUCGGCCACGGCGCGACCGUUGUCGGUGCCGUAGGGAAGCCGUGAAGCGAGCCACCUGGGAAGUACGGCCGCAAGGCUGAAACUUAAAGGAAUUGGCGGGGGAGCACCACAACGGGUGGAGCUUGCGGUUUAAUUGGAUUCAACGCCGGAAAUCUUACCGGGACCGACAGCAACAUGAAGGCCAGGCUGAAGACUUUGCCGGAUUAGCUG
rnacentral:rRNA from 1 species